rnacentral:rRNA from 1 species
CUACGUAGGGGGCGAGCGUUGUCCGGAAUGAUUGGGCGUAAAGGGCGCGUAGGCGGCUUUGCAAGUCAGUAGUGGAAGUCCAUUUUUCAAGGAUGGAAGUGCUACAGAAACUGCGGAGCUUGAGUGCAGGAGAGGUUAUCGGAAUUCCCGGUGUAGCGGUGAAAUGCGUAGAGAUCGGGAGGAACACCAGUGGCGAAGGCGGGUAACUGGACUGCAACUGACGCUGAGGCGCGAAAGUGUGGGGAGCAAACAGGAUUAGAUACCCUGGUAGUCCACACUGUAAACGAUGAAUGCUAGGUGUAGGAGGUAUCGACCCCUUCUGUGCCGCAGUAAACACAGUAAGCAUUCCGCCUGGGGAGUACGGUCGCAAGAUUAAAACUCAAAGGAAUUGACGGGG